rnacentral:rRNA from 1 species
UACGAAGGGGGCUAGCGCUGCUCGGAAUUACUGGGCGUAAAGCGCACGUAGGCGGCUUUCUAAGUCGGGGGUGAAAUCCUGGAGCUCAACUCCAGAACUGCCUUCGAUACUGGAAAGCUCGAGUCCGGGAGAGGUGAGUGGAACUGCGAGUGUAGAGGUGAAAUUCGUAGAUAUUCGCAAGAACACCAGUGGCGAAGGCGGCUCACUGGCCCGGUACUGACGCUGAGGUGCGAAAGCGUGGGGAGCAAACAGG